rnacentral:rRNA from 1 species
UUCCGGUUGAUCCCGCCGGACCCGACUGCUAUUUGGGUGAGAAUAAGCCAUGCGAGUUGAAUGGGAUACCUAAAGUUCCCAUAGCAAACUGCUCAGUAACACAUGAUCAACUUACCCUAUAGAGAAAAAUAACCUCGGGAAACUGAGGAUAAUGUUUCAUAAUUGAAUUGGCUUGGAAAAGUUUUUCAAUGAAAAGGAUAAAAAAAAUGGUUUUUAUCUGCUAUAGGAUAGGAUCGUAUUCGAUUAUGGUUGUUGGUGAGAUAAUGGCUCACCAAGCCGAUAAUCGAUAGGGGCCGUGAGAGCGGGAGCCCCGAGAUGGGUACUGAGACAACGACCCAGGCCUUACGAGGCGCAGCAGGCGCGGAACCUCCGCAAUACACGAAAGUGUGACGGGGUUACCCAAAGUGUUCAAUAGAACUGUGGUAGAUGAGUAAUGUCCCCUACUAGAAAGGAGAGGGCAAGGCUGGUGCCAGCCGCCGCGGUAAAACCAGCUCUUCAAGUGGUCGGGAUAAUUAUUGGGCUUAAAGUGUCCGUAGCCGGUUUAGUAAGUUCCUGGUAAAAUCGGGUAGCUUAACUAUCUGCAUGCUAGGAAUACUGCUAUACUAGAGGGCGGGAGAGGUCUGAGGUACUACAGGGGUAGGGGUGAAAUCUUAUAAUCCUUAUAGGACCACCAGUGGCGAAGGCGUCAGACUGGAACGCGCCUGACGGUGAGGGACGAAAGCCAGGGGAGCGAACCGGAUUAGAUACCCGGGUAGUCCUGGCCGUAAACGAUGCAUACUAGGUGAUGGUACGGCCAUGAGCCGUAUCAGUGCCGUAGGGAAACCGUUAAGUGUGCCGCCUGGGAAGUACGGUCGCAAGGCUAAAACUUAAAGGAAUUGGCGGGGGAGCACCACAAGGGGGUGAAGCCUGCGGUUCAAUUGGAUUCAACGCCGGAAAUCACUAGUGCGGCC